ACGCACCGUAUGGUAUGUAUACAAUACAAGGAAACGCUAUCACACAGGUCACCAACACCAAUCGUUACUUGUUUGUGUCCGGAAUCGAAUAAAACUCUCUCACAGUUGAUUGCCUGAGUUAACUUAUUCUCUUUAUCAACCACCAAAAACAAACUAUGUUUUUCGAUGGAUACCAUUAUCAUGGAACGACCUUUGAGCAGAGUUAUCGCUGCUAUCCGGCAUCUUUUAUCGA